GGCUGGCCAUUCCUCAGGAGUGGAAAUGGAUGGACUGGACAAAAGCGCCGUCUGCAGUAUCGUGUUGAUCAAUGGCGUUAUUGUUUGCUUGGCUCAGUUACAUUAGUGCUGUCAGCACCAUCGUACAUUCUUAGGCUUCUACUUAUCUCCGUUAACUGCUCAUGGGACGCUCUAUUUUGGGGGGAGGUGUUGAAACUUUUACCGUCAUGGAAGCAUUCUUGAACAGGAAGAAUUAUGCUCCAUCCUGUCUUUUUUUUCAAAACGUAUAUCGUGUAGGCACGGUGGGUUUGGCUCCAUUCAGCUGAUUGGCACUGUUGGAAGACACAAUUCUAACCCUGGCAGCGGGGAGGUCCUGGACAGUGCACACUCCCCUCCUCCAUCUGCUGGCUCGAAGCUAUUCUUCAGAGUCUCCACAGUCAGCGUCAAGCUCCUAGGAGUGGGUAAGUUUAUUCCAGAAAAGGUAAAGGUC
rnacentral:sRNA from 1 species